AAAGAGCCCCACGUGAAAGGAAUAGCUGCACCAUCACGACCCCGAGUCAUGCGCGGGCAGCCGUGAGGCUGCACGUGAAGCGUUGACAGGGGGAAACGCAGGCCAGCUAUAGAGCUCCGCAAUCACCCAUCCGGGGUGCCGACCUCGAGAACCGGGAGAUCUCAGCGGCACCCGCUGGCAGAUUAGCUGACGGGUCGGUUAGGGAAGGUCCGUGGCCGUAAUCCU
rnacentral:misc_RNA from 1 species